rnacentral:sRNA from 1 species
GUGAUCCCAGAGGACUGAAAUCCUCUGUUUAUCCACAGAAUAGAUAAUGGCAGGGCAAGCUUCCCAUAUCGCUGCCUCCUGCCAGUGUGACUCAGCCCUGACCUGGCUACCAUUCAUUAAGGGACAGAGUGGAGUUCAUUCUUUAUGGCCCAUUCAGUCACUGGCCUUU